AUACGUAGGGUGCAAGCGUUAAUCGGAAUUACUGGGCGUAAAGCGUGCGCGGGCGGUUUUGUAAGACAGAGGUGAAAUCCCCGGGCUCAACCUGGGAACUGCCUUUGUGACUGCAAGGCUAGAGUACGGCAGAGGGGGAUGGAAUUCCGCGUGUAGCAGUGAAAUGCGUAGAUAUGCGGAGGAACACCGAUGGCGAAGGCAAUCCCCUGGGCCUGUACUGACGCUCAUGCACGAAAGCGUGGGGAGCAAACAGGAUUAGAUACCCUGGUAGUCCACGCCCUAAACGAUGUCAACUGGUUGUUGGGUCUUCAUUGACUCAGUAACGAAGCUAACGCGUGAAGUUGACCGCCUGGGAGUACGGCCGCAAGGUUGAAACUCAAAUGAAUUGACGGGG
rnacentral:rRNA from 1 species